rnacentral:rRNA from 1 species
CCCCUAGAUGUUCUGGGCCGCACGCGCGCUACACUGAACAGUUCAACAAGUCUUAACCUUGGCCGAUAGGUCUGGGUAAUCUUUGAACGCUGUUCGUGAUUGGGAUAGACCUUUGCAAUUAUGGGUCUUCAACGAGGAAUUCCUAGUAAACGCAAGUCAUCAGCUUGCAUUGAUUACGUCCCUGCCCUUUGUACACACCGCCCGUCGCACCUACCGAUUGAAUGGUCCGGUGAAAUCUCGGGACGGCGGCUUGGUCGAUUGCGUCCGACUGCUGAAACUUGAUUAAACCAUAUCAUUUAGAGGAAGGUGAAGUCGUAACA